UAGCCGGUCCCAAGGGUAUGGCUGUUCGCCAUUUAAAGUGGUACGUGAGCUGGGUUUAAAACGUCGUGAGACAGUUUGGUCCCUAUCUGCCGUGGGCGUUGGAAAUUUGAGGGGGGCUGCUCCUAGUACGAGAGGACCGGAGUGGACGCAUCUCUGGUGUACCGGUUAUCACGCCAGUGGUAUUGCCGGGUAGCUAUAUGCGGAAGAGAUAAACGCUGAAAGCAUCUAAGCGUGAAACUUGCCUCGAGAUGAGAUUUCCCGGGAACUAGAUUCCCCUAAAGGGUCGUUCAAGACCAGGACGUUGAUAGGUUGGGUGUGGAAGCGCAGUAAUGCGUUAAGCUAACCAAUACUAAUUGCCCGUGAGACUUGAUCCU
rnacentral:rRNA from 1 species